rnacentral:rRNA from 1 species
AACGUAGGACGCAAGCGUUAUCCGGAGUUACUGGGCGUAAAGCGCGGGCAGGCGGUCUUGCCAGUCUGAUGUGAAAUCUCCUCGCUCAACGGGGAGCAGCCAUUGGAAACUACAAGACUGGAGUCUGGCAGAGGUAGGCGGAAUUCCGGGUGUAGCGGUGAAAUGCGCAGAUAUCAGGAAGAACACCCGUGGCGAAGGCGGCUCUCUGGUACGUGACUGACGCUGAGACGCGAAAGCGUGGGGAGCAAACAGG